CGUUCCGGUCUUCAAAUCUUUUUGCUGCAUUUAGUUGUCCAUCAGAUCUAGUUCGAUUCCCC
rnacentral:tRNA from 1 species